rnacentral:rRNA from 1 species
GCAUAUCAUUAAGCGGAGG